GUAGGUGAACCUGCGGAAGGAUCAUUAACACGUUAUCCACGUAUCCACCAACGAGAUGUACGUUUUCAACGCUCUCCUCUGGGAGAAUGAACUGAGCCUUCGUAGAGUUAUUGAAAGGGAUGCUCACGCGUCAGACUCUACUCGCCACUUGCAUCGUCACGGCCAUUGCUGCGUCGGUGCAGACAGUUGUAUUUUCUGGAGGACUCUCGCUCACUAUGUUCGGGUCUCCUUUCAUUGACUUUUUCUGUGAGCAAUAAUUUACCCAUUUCACCCCCUUUUUGCUAGUUGACUUUUAUCUGUUGCAUAUUGUGUUUCGGCACGUGUGCACACGUUUAAUUAUUUGAACGUUAAAAAUACAACUCUUAGCAAUGGAUAUCUAGGUUCUC
rnacentral:misc_RNA from 1 species